GCUGGGCGUGGUGGCACACGCCUGUAAUCCCAGGUACUCGGGAGGCUGAGGCGGGAGAAUCGCUUGAGCCCAGGAGGCGGAGGUUGCAGUGAGCCAAGAUUGUGCCACUGCACUCUAGCUUGGGCAAGAGAGUGAGACUCUGUCUCAG
rnacentral:SRP_RNA from 1 species